ACAGCGGCGGACGGGUGAGUAAUGCGUGGGAAUAUGCCCUUUGGUAUGGAAUAGCCCCUGGAAACGGGGAGUAAUACCGUAUGUGCCCUACGGGGAAAAGAUUUAUCGCCAAAGGAUUAGCCCAUGUUGGAUUAGCUGGUUGGUGAGGUAAAAGCUCACCAAGGCGACGAUCUAUAGCUGGUUUGAGAGGAUGAUCAGCCACACUGGGACUGAGACACGGCCCAGACUCCUACGGGAGGCAGCAGUGGGGAAUAUUAGACAAUGGGCGAAAGCCUGAUCUAGCCAUGCCGCGUGAGUGAAGAAGGCCCUAGGGUUGUAAAGCUCUUUCAGAUGUGAGGAUGAUGACAGUAACAUCAGAAGAAGCCCCGGCUAACUUCGUGCCAGCAGCCGCGGUAAUACGAAGGGGGCUAGCGUUGUUCGGAAUUACUGGGCGUAAAGGGCGC
rnacentral:rRNA from 1 species